rnacentral:tRNA from 1 species
GUUUUAAUAGUUUAAGUCUAAACCAUUGAUCUUGUAAAUCAAAAAUAAAUUAUAUUUUUAAAACA